CAUACAUACAGCCUGCUUCAUUCAUGAGUCACUGCCAGCUCUGGAAAUACAGACUGCUGCCUGCUGAGCUGCUCUGCUCACUCAGGUGUCAGCCAUGUCCCUGGGCAAAGUGCACUUGAAUAAUUUAAACCAGAAAGAAAGUAGAGAGUAGCAACACAAUGAAGACUCAAAGGACCCCUUGGUUUACAAGACCAGGAAAAAGGUGAGGAGAGAGUGAUAGAGCAGCCUUGGUGGGCACCUGGAGACCAGUCAUGUUCAAACCACCUGUUUGCUAUGUUUGGGAGGAGCUCUCAAUAAAAAGUGUGUGCAUUUAUUAAUUUUUUUCUCAUUUAUAUAUUUCCUUACAUACUCCUUUUAUAAUGAUCCCUGAAAAUCACUGUUCUUUAUCAGCAGACAGAGUGAUAACCACAAUUGCUUUUAAUACCACCAAACAUCUGAAUUUACCAAAUGUGUUUUUCUCUUCUUU